rnacentral:lncRNA from 1 species
AAAAAGAAAAAAGAAAAGUCUUCUAUUCCUUUCAUAUAACUCCUAGGAAAGUCUUACCUUCCAGUUAAGGGGUGAAAUGGGUCACUUUGCUCAUCUGCAAGGCUACAUCAUAGGGAAAUACUUUCAGGGCAGUACACGUACAGGCCAUUUUACCAUGAUGCCUUUCUACUGCUGGGGGAUUUAUGGGGCUUAACUGCAAGGGUGCUGAGUUGCUGAAUUUGUAAUCACUGGUCCAGAGCAAACAAUGAGGAUGAGUAGCAGUUUCUAGGUGGCUGAUAAGCAGGAUCAAAGCAUAAACAAAGGUUUUUCAUGGCUGCUGCCAAACUGUGGGCCUUGGGGACAGACACUGGAGGGCUGGGGCAGUGAGAGGUAGCAGAGUUCAGAUGUGUGCUGUGUGACUCUCCGCCAGGCUCCAUCCCUUUCCUGAGCUUCAUGCCUAGCAUCUGUGCAAUUCCAGGGGUCCAGCGGGUGUUCUGCACACAUAGCCCCCACCCCAGGGGCUGAGCAGGGCCCCACCCGCCUCUCUUGUUUUGUCCUCACCUAUCUCGUACUUCCAAAACCACCCACCCCCAACAGAAAGUCAGGAUCAAGAAAGUGGAUUAUUG